rnacentral:misc_RNA from 1 species
GCAAACUUGGUCAUUUAGAGGAAGUAAAAGUCGUAACAAGGUAACCGUAGGUGAACCUGCGGUUGGAUCAUUACAAAAUCAUGAUUUGUUGGGUUUCGCGCAAGCGGCCCCUUCAACAUCAUAUCCACCCAUCCUGUGAACGUUUCCUGUAUUUUGGUGGCCCAUAACCAUGGGAUGGCGGUGAUGAAUCAUCGCCGCUGUCUCGGGCCACCAGCCAUUUGUGCAAACUCUUCUGUUUUGUGUUUGUGAACGUGUAGACUCUUUUCGAAGAGUUGUCUGUAAUGUAAAAAACAACUUUUGACAACGGAUCUCUUGGCUCUCGCAUCGAUGAAGAACGCAGC